CUGGAAUAAACAUCUCGAUAACAAAAUAAAACAGGCUACGAUCGCUUUCUGGCAGUGUAAGCGAAUGUUAGGAAAAACCUGGGGCCUUAAACCAAAAUUAACAUUAUGGCUGUACAAAGCUUUCAUACGACCUACCAUAACUUACGGUUCUGUAGUCUGGUGGCCCAGAACAGAACUUAGCUCAGUAAAAAACAAGCUGCAAAAGCUACAAAGGCUUGCAUGUGUAGCCAUCACAGGAUGCAUGAAAUCAACACCCACGGCCGCACUCGAGGUACUUCUCGACCUUCCACCAUUACAUCUCGUGGUGAAACAGGAAGCAGCUGCCGCCGCUUUUAGACUAAGAGCAGCUGGCCUCUGGGCAAAUAACUCAACAGCGUCACACACAUCCAUUAUGUUGGAAGCCAUAAAACAUCAACCAAUGAUGGCAGCCAUUGGUGAUCGAAUUCCGCUUAUCCAUAUAUUUAAUAGGCACUACAACAUUCAAUUGCAUGAAGAACCAAGAGAUCAGUCCAGUAUAUAUGAACUGAGAAUAUACACUGAUGGAUCCAAAAAAACGUCAGGUACGGGUGCUGGUGUCCACUCGGAUGACCUAAACAUUCAUUUUUCACUGGCUCUAGGCAAAUACAACACAAUCUUUCAGGCUGAAUGUGUUGCUAUUACACGGGCCGCUAACGCAGUCAAAUCUAGAAAGGUUACGAAUCAACGGAUUCGUAUCCUAUCUGAUAGUGCUGCAGUUCUGCUAGCUUUGUCUAGCAAAACUAUAACUUCGGGGCUAGUACUAGAGUGUCACUCAGCUCUAGAAUCGCUUGCCUCACAAAACAAUAACAUAACCCUCCAGUGGAUAAAAGGGCACAGCGGGUCGCUGGGGAACGACGCUGCUGAUGAACUUGCACGAAAGGGAUCUGACACUGCACCAAUAGGCCCAGAGCCGAUAGUACCGAUCCCUUUCAACCAAAUUCGCUCUUGGUUACGUUCCCGAACGACAGAAUGCCACACCAAUCUCUGGAGUAACAGUGCCGAGUGCAAACAAACAAAAGCUUUUGUACCACUAAUUAAUACUAAACUAACACGCAAAUUAUUAUGCUUGGACAGAGCAAACUUACGUGUCGUGAUAAGUACCAUAACAGGCCACUGCCGGUUAAAUAAACACCUAUAUCGCAUGAAAAUCUCCACCACUCCUCUUUGCAGAAGUUGCAUGGAGGAAGAUGAAACAGCUUCCCAUGUCUUGUUACAUUGCAAAGGCGUGGAGACACUACGAUC